UACAAAUGUUUUUUUUUGUUUGUUCACUAGGAUGCAGUUUGAGAGGAAAAUUAAUUAUUAACCUACUUUGAAAAGUCAUUUUGAGGACAGUUAUCAUUUAGGAAUGCAAGAAAAGAUUGCUUUAUUUCUAAUAAUCUACCAUGCCAUCGAGAUAGACAGCCCUAUGACUAAUAUCUAUUUUUCUAAUAGGAUCUUCAAAGAUGAAUCUUAGAUAGAAGAAAUUGGAACCCUAUGCAAGACAGCAGAAGUGUAUGGCUUACCAAACCCUAAGUGGAAUAAGAAAUUUUGCAUCCCAUUGGAAAAUCCCAUGGAUUAUAGGUUUUUGUACUUGGGGGUAAUUAGAACCCAUUCUAAGACUGAUCCAAGAACCUCCACUAGUGAGGCCUUGGUGGGCAAAAUAAAGAUCCAUCUGCUCGAACUCUUCACCAAAAUAAAGUAUCGCUUUAAACUAGUGAGGCCUGAAGCGUUGGGGUAUAAGGCCGAGUGCUCUAUCCAACAGCCUAUGGAAAUGAAAAGGCUUUAAAAUGCAUAACUAGUUUGGUUAAUUUUUAGUCCUUGUUUAAUAAUUAAUUAGAAUUUGUAUUUCCGUUCUUAGUUUAAUGAGAAUAUCCACGUUUGAUUUUGUAUUUCAAUUUACUUUGUUUGGUAUUUUCUUAUCUUUUGCUAAAUCUCUUGCAAUCAUUUG
rnacentral:misc_RNA from 1 species